CCUACGGGAUGCAGCCGUGAGGAAUAUUGGUCAAUGGGCGCGAGCCUGAACCAGCCAAGUCGCGUGAGGGAAGACGGUCCUAUGGAUUGUAAACCUCUUUUGUCGGGGAGCAAAAGACGCCACGCGUGGCGUUCCGAGAGUACCCGAAGAAAAAGCAUCGGCUAACUCCGUGCCAGCAGCCGCGGUAAUACGGAGGAUGCGAGCGUUAUCCGGAUUUAUUGGGUUUAAAGGGUGCGCAGGCGGAAGAUCAAGUCAGCGGUAAAAUUGAGAGGCUCAACCUCUUCGAGCCGUUGAAACUGGUUUUCUGGAGUGAGUGAGAAGUAGGCGGAAUGUGUGGUGUAGCGGUGAAAUGCAUAGAUAUCACGCAGAACUCCGAUUGCGAAGGCAGCAUACCGGCGCUCAACUGACGCUGAUGCACGAAAGUGUGGGUAUCGAACAGGAUUAGAUACCCUGGUAGUC
rnacentral:rRNA from 1 species